GACAGAGGGGGCAAGCGUUGCUCGGAAUCACUGGGCGUAAAGGGCGCGUAGGCGGGAUGGCAAGUCGGUCGUGAAAUCCUUCGGCUCAACCGAAGAACGUCGGCCGAUACUGCCGUUCUUGAGGGAUGCAGAGGAGAUUGGAAUUCCCGGUGUAGCGGUGAAAUGUGUAGAGAUCGGGAGGAACACCGGUGGCGAAGGCGGGUCUCUGGGCAUCUCCUGACGCUGAGGCGCGAAAGCUAGGGGAGCAAACGGG
rnacentral:rRNA from 1 species